UGAGGAGUCAAUAGUGGUUUCAUCUGACUCUGAGAAAAGGAAAUCCACCAAAAUGAAUUGACGUUUUAAAGCUGAAUGCCACAGGAAAACAUUUCUUCUCUU